AACCAACCACCAGAAGCUAGCGAUGAGGGGUCCAGAUCUAUGAUAUGCAAGCGAUACCCAUCUUGUGGCGAGUAAAACCCUAGAGGCCGCAGAUUAUCACUGAGAUCGCAGAUCUUGACACCGGCGUCAUCGAAGAGCUCGAGCCGCAUCGAGUCCACGGAGGUCCCGCAUUUCUUCCAUAGCUUCUCUUUCACGGAAUCAAGGG
rnacentral:misc_RNA from 1 species